rnacentral:rRNA from 1 species
GGAGCGAUGUGGUUUAAUUCGAAGCAACGCGCAGAACCUUACCAGCCUUUGACAUCCUAGGACGACUUCUGGAGACAGAUUUCUCCCUUCGGGGACCUAGUGACAGGUGCUGCAUGGCUGUCGUCAGCUCGUGUCGUGAGAUGUUGGGUUAAGUCCCGCAACGAGCGCAACCCUCGUCCUUAGUUGCCAUCAUUAAGUUGGGCACUUUAAGGAAACUGCCGGUGAUAAGCCGGAGGAAGGUGGGGAUGACGUCAAGUCCUCAUGGCCCUUACAGGCUGGGCUACACACGUGCUACAAUGGCAUCUACAGUGGGCAGCUAUUCCGCAAGGAUGCGCUAAUCUCCAAAAGAUGUCUCAGUUCGGAUUGUCCUCUGCAACUCGAGGGCAUGAAGGCGGAAUCGCUAGUAAUCGCGGAUCAGCAUGCCGCGGUGAAUACGUUCCCAGGCCUU